CCCCAUAGUCUGGGAUACCACUUGGAAACAGGUGCUAAUACCGGAUAAGAAAGCGGAUCGCAUGAUCAGCUUUUAAAAGGCGGCGUAAGCUGUCGCUAUGGGAUGGCCCCGCGGUGCAUUAGCUAGUUGGUAAGGUAAAGGCUUACCAAGGCGAUGAUGCAUAGCCGAGUUGAGAGACUGAUCGGCCACAUUGGGACUGAGACACGGCCCAAACUCCUACGGGAGGCAGCAGCC
rnacentral:rRNA from 1 species